CUCACGUUGACAUCUCGGCUGUGAACUGAACCUGCCGGGGAACGUGCCAGACAGCUGUAAACCUGAGCGUGAACCUCUUGACGAUAAUCCUCGGCGCGGAAAGGAGGGAAGACCAAGUUCCCAUUUGGAAAGUACCUGUCUGAGUCCAGGAACGUCUCCAACAGCGCUUCCGUCAGCACGAACCCAGAUGAUAUCCGGUUGGGGGUUUCCUCUGGCCUGGCAUUCGACGACAGCUCCAGUUCCAUUAGAGAAGUCAACUCGGUUUGGUGGUUCCUUGACAAAUACUGGUCCCAUGGAUUCGUCCUCAGCGCAAGCCACUAUGGAAACAAAAAGAAACUGAUUGUAGGAUAAAAUUUCACUAUAGAAGUUUCUACUUUACAUAUAUCGUCUACUCUAACAAGAGAAUACAUCAACGAUUUCGACCGUCCAUCAGUUUCUUCUGGCAGUGCCAUUCGCGAUGCAACGAAGGAGAUUCCAAUUAAUCGAAACUGUCACCGGCAAAAGGAACUUUUGUUGCGUGUCUUUCAGACUCGCUUACCAACGGCUCCACCAGGAUACACGACACCCACGUUCAAUUGGCGCGUCGCCAAUUGCAGCAAACAACAGAGAUGCCAAUUUCAUUCGCGAGCAUCGAGGGCAAUCACUAUCGAUCGUAAAAGAUCGAUAUGUAGUGCCUCGACAAAAUUCGAUGUGAACAUAGGUGGCAAUAUUCGAUUACAAAUUUUCCCGCGAAAGUAUUCUAACACAAUAAGUGUUCUAGCAAUAAGAGCAUAGUGAGCAGGUUUAAAUCGUGGUAUAAUUAUUCAGCU